rnacentral:rRNA from 1 species
UACGUAGGGUGCAAGCGUUAAUCGGAAUUACUGGGCGUAAAGCGUGCGCAGGCGGUUUUGUAAGUCUGUCGUGAAAUCCCCCGGGCUCAACCUGGGAAUUGCGAUGGAGACUGCAAGGCUAGAAUCUGGCAGAGGGGGGUAGAAUUCCACGUGUAGCAGUGAAAUGCGUAGAGAUGUGGAGGAACACCGAUGGCGAAGGCAGCCCCCUGGGUCAAGAUUGACGCUCAUGCACGAAAGCGUGGGGA